rnacentral:rRNA from 1 species
CACGUGGGUAACCUGCCCAAGAGAUCGGGAUAACACCUGGAAACAGAUGCUAAUACCGGAUAACAACAGAUGAUGCCUAUCAACUGUUUAAAAGAUGGUUCUGCUAUCACUCUUGGAUGGACCUGCGGUGCAUUAGCUAGUUGGUAGGGUAACGGCCUACCAAGGCGAUGAUGCAUAGCCGAGUUGAGAGACUUAUCGGCCACAUUGGGACUGAGACACGGCCCAAACUCCUACGGGAGGCAGCAGGU